rnacentral:rRNA from 1 species
CCUACGGGUGGCAGCAGUGAGGAAUAUUGGUCAAUGGGCGCGCGCCUGAACCAGCCAAGUCGCGUGAAGGAUGACUGCCCUACGGGUUGUAAACUUCUUUUAUAAAGGAAUAAAGUGAGGCACGUGUGCCGUUUCUUAUAUACUUUAUGAAUAAGGAUCGGCUAACUCCGUGCCAGCAGCCGCGGUAAUACGGAGGAUCCGAGCGUUUUCCGGAUUUAUUGGGGUUAAAGGGAGCGUAGAUGGGAUGUCAAGUCAGUGGGGAAAUUUGGGGGGCUCACCCUCAAAUCGCAUUGGAUACUGGCAGUCUUGAGUGCGCGUGAGGUAGGCGGAAUUCGUGGUGUAGCGGUGAAAUGCUUAGAUAUCACGAAGAACUCCGAUUGCGAAGGCAGCUUACUAA